CCAGUUAAGGAGAUUGCAGCCAAGCCACAACAACCAGCACAGGUUCUGAUCGGUUUCAUAUCCAAGAGAAAUUGAUUGUGAUUCCCAAGUCUGUUACACCACUCGAUAUUGAAGAGACUUUAAGGUGUUUGACUUUGAAUUGACUAAAGAGGAGAUGGAAACCAUCCUCAGCUUUAAUAGGAAUUGGAGAGCUUGUCCAUUGACCAUGAGCGCAAAUCACAAGGACUAUCCUUCAAAGCUGAGUAUUAAAGCUGGGUGUCUUGCCAGGCUUCCUG